rnacentral:rRNA from 1 species
UACAGAGGGGGCAAGCGUUGUUCGGAAUUACUGGGCGUAAAGGGCGCGUAGGCGGCCCGCUAAGUCGAACGUGAAAUCCCUGGGCUCAACCCAGGAACUGCGUCCGAUACUGGCAGGCUUGAAUCCGGGAGAGGGAUGUGGAAUUCCAGGUGUAGCGGUGAAAUGCGUAGAUAUUGGGAGGAACACCAGUGGCGAAGGCGGCUCACUGGACCGGAACUGACGCUGAGGCGCGAAAGCCAGGGGAGCAAACGGG